rnacentral:rRNA from 1 species
GACGAACGCUGGCGGCGUGCUUAACACAUGCACGUCGAACGAAGUGGCGCACGGGUGAGUAACGCGUAAUCAACCUGCCCUUCAGAGGGGGACAACAGGUGGAAACGACUGCUAAUACCGCAUACUGAAGGAGGGGAUUGCGUCUGAUUAGCUAGUUGGAGGGGUAACGGCCCACCAAGGCGAUGAUUAGUAGCCGGUCGGGAGGGAUGUACGGCCACAUUGGGACUGAGACACGGCCCAGACGGCUACGGGAAGCAACAGUGGGGAAUCUUCCGCAAUGGUCGAAAGGCUGACGGAGCAACGCCGCGUGGUUUAUGACGGCCUUCGGGGUGUAAAGCUAUGUUAAUCGGGACGCGGUACCGGAAUAGAAAGCCACGGCUAACUACGUGCCAGCAGCCGCGGUAAUAC